rnacentral:snRNA from 2 species
AUGGCUUCUCCACCAUUUGGGUAAGAUCAAGAGAAAUGUAGCUACCAUCUUAUCAGUGUAAUAUCUGACACAUCUCUAUCUGAGGAUAGUAUAAGGAUAGUAUAUUGAGUGGACUUUUGGAUCAAAGAGAUGGAAUAGGAGCUUGCUCCAUCCACAUCUUGUAUCAACCUGGUAUUGCAGUACCUCCAGGAACAGUGCAGCCCCU